UACAGAGGGUGCGAGCGUUGUUCGGAAUUACUGGGCGUAAAGCGCGCGCAGGCGGCCUUUUUAAGUCUGCUGGUGAAAUGCCGGGGCUCAACCCCCGUGCCCGCCACAGAUACUGGGAGGCUGGAGACAUGUAGAGGCAAGCGGAAUUCCGGGUGUAGCGGUGGAAUGCGUAGAGAUCCGGAAGAACACCGGAGGCGAAGGCGGCUUGCUGGGCAUGGUCUGACGCUGAGGCGCGAAAGCGUGGGGGAGCGAACAGG
rnacentral:rRNA from 1 species